GUUUACCUUAGAUACCAACUGGUUUAAUUAGUUUCGAUUAUAUCAACCUAACAGUUCAUGCUAGACCGCUUAGCCAAGAAUCAAGUCCAUUUGGUUCUCGUUAAAGACAUGGACUUGACCAACUACAACUAUUGUAAUUGAUCUAGAGAAUCUUUGACCUAAUCUAAGACAACAAUUGAUUAGAUUUAGUCAAUUCUCUAAUUAAGUCCAUCUUUAAUCUAACC
rnacentral:lncRNA from 1 species